AUUCCAGCUCCAAUAGCGUAUAUUAAAGUUGUUGCAGUUAAAAAGCUCGUAGUUGGAGUUCAGAGUGAGCUCAGCCGGUCGGCCUCAUGGGUCAGAACUGGUCGACUCUCUCUUGUUUGUGGAUCCCGUCCGGAGUUAACUCUUCGGAAUGUGGAGUUCACAUCGUUUACCUUGAAAAAAUUAGAGUGUUCAAAGCAGGCGUUUGCUUGAAUAUAUUAGCAUGGAAUAAUGGAAUAGGACCCUGGUUCUAUUUUGUUGGUUUUGAGGACCAGAGUAAUGAUUAAUAGGGAUAGUUGGGGGCAUUCAUAUUUCAUUGUCAGAGGUGAAAUUCUUGGAUUUAUGAAAGAUGAACUUCUGCGAAAGCAUUUGCCAAGGAUGUUUUCAUCG
rnacentral:rRNA from 1 species